rnacentral:tRNA from 1 species
GAAGGUGUGGUUCAGUAGUAAAGCACUUGCCUGCAUGCAUGAGGCCCUGGGUUCCAUUCCCAGCAACUCCC